rnacentral:lncRNA from 1 species
UGAUGUUUAAAUUGGAUUGAAUUAAAAUUUUGUAGACCAUCAUCAUUAAAUGGAAUACAAUUUCAAUAGAAUCAUUAUCAUCGAAUUAUAUAACUCACCCCAAAAAAAAAAGAAAAAAAAACUUAUAUCUGAAACCCAAAUUUUUUGUUGGUUAUUAGGUGGAAUAAUCAUGAAAAUUGACUAAAUUAGUUAGGCAAAAUGGGUGUAAUUUAACGUAAAAUGAGAUAACCUUAUUAAUUAUAGCUUUUUUAAUGCAUGAUCGAUUUGAUCUGCCAACUUCUUGUGCCCCCGUUCUAAGAAAUAACAAACGAUACUAUGAGCUCAAAUAUUGCUUUGUUUUCAAGUUAAAAAUCUCCGAGAAAUACUACAAGUAAAAUUAUGAACUUUCACCCUUUUUUUGGUAGAGAUUAUCGCUAUUAAAUGUAGUUAAUGAAGGAGAUAAUGAGCUUGAUGUUUUAACUAUAAUUAAAUAUAUUGUUAAGUAGAUGUAUGACGAUUAACAGAUUCCAUAAUGCUAAAAUUGAAAAUUUUGUUGACUUUUAGCUGCUUAUGCAUUGAAAAUAUAUAUAUAUCAUUGACUUCCAAAACCUAAAAAAUUUGGGGGAUAAGGAAAUUAUAGUAAGUUGUUAUCAAAUAUUCGAACGGAUCACUGCCCUUAAUGUGAUAUAGAGACACCACCUGCCUCUUUUGGCUGGAAGCUUCAAAUUGCAACACUUACGAUUAAUAUGACAUUAUAAUUUCAACAAUUUAUGCAAAAAAAUUUUAAUGCGAACAUUUUUAUUUUCUAAAUUAUAGAUUUCUGCUUAAUUGUUGAUGGCAGAAUAAAUUG